GCACUGCAAAUAGCUUGUUCUGAGCGAGGCCCGUUCUGGUUCAGUUAAAUCCAAAGGCUUCAGUCAACGUGUCUCACCAACGUGACUACUUUUCUCUCACCGCCAUUGUCCCCUACAAUUCUGAUAGGUAAACCAGUGGUUAAGGUGCUGACAGAGGAAGAGUUUCCCACUGAGGAGCAGCAGCCUGAGGGAGAAGGAAGUGUCCUCUCACCUGCUAUAUGAUGAGUUUCCUCAUACCCUAGUUCCCUGUUGGGCACCAAAAUGCCAUGUCCAGUGUAGCUCUUGAAAUUCUUGGCAGGAGGAUGGUGGAGGAUGAAGAAACAAUGACAAGAGUCAGAAUGUGGAAAGCUGAGGUCCGGUGGAGCCCCUCUCCUGGUGGGAGAAAAAGAACCACCCAACAACUGCAGCAUGUUUAUACACUCGACAGGUGAACUCUAUGCCUCUGCUUCUAAGUAGGGACUGUACGACUGCCUGACCAAGAUAGUGUGCAGAACUGACAAUGUGCUACUUUCUGAGCCCAGGCCAUACAAAAGACUGGCGGAGUCUAUUUUCUUUUUCUUGGAAAGUUUUCUUUGGAGACAUUGAGUCAUUGUGUAAAAAGUCCACAUAUCCUGAGACCACCACGCUGUGUCUCAGCAUGAGAGAGCCCCAGCCGAGCCUUUUAGCCAUCCCCAUCAAGGUGACAGGCAUGAGAGAUGUCAUCUGGUGUUCUCCAGCCAGCCUACUCACUAGCUCAGCACCAGCAAGUGUCCCUGCUGAGAGCAGUAGAUACCACAUGGAGUCAGGGAACUGCCUGACUGAGUCCUGAUUGAACUCUUGACCUACAGGAUCAUGAACCUGGAUUCAUGAGUAUUCAGCUGGCUGGCGAGUGGCAAGGGACAACUGGAAAAGAAUUUGGUACCUACAAGUGGGGUGCUGUUCUGUAGAACUCUAAAACAUGUGGCAUUGAGUUUGAGACUGAGCAUAGGCCAAAUUUGGAAAGCCUCGAGGAGCUGGAAGGUGCAUAGACUACUGGUUUAGGGGGACGGGGGAAAAUUGGAUUUGGAAGUAAAAAAUAUGAUCCUUGUCAUGGAGAAAAUUUGAUGACACUGUUACCUACAGUAAUGUGGAAAAGAGAAAGCAAAGCUAAAAACUAGUGGAUCUAGAAAUUUCCUAGAACAAUGCUGAAGUUGCCAAUCUAUUUUUUUUUUUGA